rnacentral:rRNA from 1 species
AGACCCGAAACCCGGUGAUCUAGCCAUGGGCAGGUUGAAGGUUGGGUAACACUAACUGGAGGACCGAACCGACUAAUGUUGAAAAAUUAGCGGAUGACCUGUGGCUGGGGGUGAAAGGCCAAUCAAACCGGGAGAUAGCUGGUUCUCCCCGAAAGCUAUUUAGGUAGCGCCUCGUGAAUUCAUCUCCGGGGGUAGAGCACUGUUUCGGCUAGGGGGCCAUCCCGGCUUACCAACCCGAUGCAAACUGCGAAUACCGGAGAAUGUUAUCACGGGAGACACACGGCGGGUGCUAACGUCCGUCGUGAAGAGGGAAACAACCCAGACCGCCAGCUAAGGUCCCAAAGUCAUGGUUAAGUGGGAAACGAUGUGGGAAGGCCCAGACAGCCAGGAUGUUGGCUUAGAAGCAGCCAUCAUUUAAAGAAAGCGUAAUAGCUCACUGGUCGAGUCGGCCUGCGCGGAAGAUGUAACGGGGCUAAACCAUGCACCGAAGCUGCGGCAGCGACGCUUAUGCGUUGUU